GAGCGAUGGAAGCUUGCUUCUAUCAAUCUUACUGUCGAACGGGUGAGUAACGCGUAAUCAACCUGCCCUUCAGAGGGGGACAACAGUUGGAAACGACUGCUAAUACCGCAUACGAUCUAAUCUCGGCAUCGAGGAUGGAUGAAAGGUGGCCUCUAUUUAUAAGCUAUCACUGAAGGAGGGGAUUGCGUCUGAUUAGCUAGUUGGAGGGGUAACGGCCCACCAAGGCGAUGAUCAGUAGCCGGUCUGAGAGGAUGAACGGCCACAUUGGGACUGAGACACGGCCCAGACUCCUACGGGAGGCAGCAGUGGGGAAUCUUCCGCAAUGGACGAAAGUCUGACGGAGCAACGCCGCGUGAGUGAUGACGGCCUUCGGGUUGUAAAGCUCUGUUAAUCGGGACGAAAGGCCUUCUUGCGAAUAGUGAGAAGGAUUGACGGUACCGGAAUAGAAAGCCACGGCUAACUACGUGCCAGCAGCCGCGGUAAUACGUAGGUGGCAAGCGUUGUCCGGAAUUAUUGGGCGUAAAGCGCGCGCAGGCGGAUAGGUCAGUCUGUCUUAAAAGUUCGGGGCUUAACCCCGUGAUGGGAUGGAAACUGCCAAUCUAGAGUAUCGGAGAGGAAAGUGGAAUUCCUAGUGUAGCGGUGAAAUGCGUAGAUAUUAGGAAGAACACCAGUGGCGAAGGCGACUUUCUGGACGAAAACU
rnacentral:rRNA from 1 species